rnacentral:sRNA from 1 species
UUCACAAUCCAAGUUCCACAAUAUAUUAACUACUGCCACAAUUCUGGUGCUGUACUUCUUUGCAGUAUACAAGGACUAGCAGUUAAUAUUGACCCAAUCUUAUAUACGUGGCUCAUCUAUCAGCCUCAGAAACGAACAGGUAGACAUAUGCAACAGCAGCCUGUGGUAGCUGUUCCUCUUGUUAUGCCAGUUUGUAGAAGGAAAGAGGAUGAGGUGUCUAUUGGAAGUGCACCCUUGGCAAAGCAGCAAUCAUAUCAGGCCUCUGAAUAUGCCAGCAGCCCUGUAAAAACAAAAACGGUAACAGAUCUUCCUCCAUCCCUUUAUUUUGAGCCUAUGUGUGUCUCUGCACGUGAGAUGGGUUUACUGAAUACAGCACACUGAUGGGUCUUGACUCUUUAUCCAAUUUGCCAGUCUGUCAAACUAGAACUCAGGAUUAAGAAACUCACUCAAAACCACUCAACUACAUGGAAACUGAACAACCUGCUCCUGAAUAACUACUGCGUACAUAACGAAAUGAAGGCAGAAAUAAAGAUGUUCUUUGAAAUCAAUGAGAACAAAGACACAACAUAC